AUGCUUUUCCUAUUAUUUUGUGUUGGAUGUGUUGCUUUGUCUGCAGGGCAAUCCUUUGCUUCAACAACUACAAUGGGACCAAGGGCUACCACGAAACAGGUGACAACACCUCCAACUCUUACUACCCCUUAUGUGGACCCACCUUUUGGUACUAAACCCCUGGAAAGUGGAUUUGCAAUUCUUCAGGUCGCUGUCCAAUCUUAUCAGGAGCUAAAUGAGACAACAGCUGAUCCAGUCUUGAGUAAGAUCUACGACAUCGUUCGGGCGAAGCGACCUGAUCUGAAAUUUCGACUGACCGUGAAAACUGUCCAGAAAGUUUGAUGGAUUAUGAUCCAAGGCAUAGCAGAUUGAAGUUCUAGUGGUACAUCAUGUUCUGCAGAUUAAGAUUUUCAAUGAUUUUAUGCUGUUUAUCAGUCAUUAUAUUCAUGUUAAUAAUAUAUUUGAAUGUAUAAUUUCAUUGACUUACUGACUUGCUGCACGUUCCAAUCACCAUCUGGGGGAGGAGCUGUAAUUCAAGAGUUAUGUCACAACUUUUCCCACUUUCAUAGAAUCUUGUCAUCUGCUUCCAGUGUUUUCUGAUGGAUUUGAUGUUGGACUGAAUAGUCCUAACUACUGUAAUAUUUUCUUUGGCUAUAAACAUGUUACAAAUACUGCAACUGUCUGUUCUCACAGUCAUGUUAAUUCAAUGGAUCUGACUUCAGUCUUUUUUAAAAUAUCAAACAUAAGGUGACUUCCCUGAAAAGAACAGUCCAACCCAACCCCCCAAAAAUGUAUAUAUAAUUUUUUUUCAU
rnacentral:lncRNA from 1 species